AUUGAACGCUGGCGGCAUGCCUUACACAUGCAAGUCGAACGGGUUUUGGGGGCUUGCUCCCAAAGCUAGUGGCGAACGGGUGAGUAAAGUAUCGGAACGUACCAUUCAGUGGGGGGAUAACGUAGCGAAAGUUACGCUAAUACCGCAUAUUCUGUGAGCAGGAAAGCAGGGGGAUCGCAAGACCUUGCGCUGAUUGAGCGGCCGAUAUCAGAUUAGCUGGUUGGUGGGGUAAAGGCUCACCAAGGCGACGAUCUGUAGCGGGUCUGAGAGGAUGAUCCGCCACACUGGGACUGAGACACGGCCCAGACUCCUACGGGAGGCAGCAGUGGGGAAUUUUGGACAAUGGGCGCAAGGCCUGAUCCAGCCAUUCCGCGUGAGUGAAGAAGGCCUUCGGGUUGUAAGCUCUUCGUCAAGGGAAGAAACGAUGCAGUCGAAUAAACUAGCGUUAAUGACGGUACCUUGAUAAGAAGACACCGGCUAACUACGUGCCAGACG
rnacentral:rRNA from 1 species